GUCAAACCAACAGGCUCAAGAUUCAGAAUGAAUAUCCACCAUGUUCUGUUCUUCUGUGUCUUAUCAGCAGGACUAUUUGACAAAAAUACUCAUCUCAUCAACGCACAAACAAACCUUUAUACAAAAGUGGAAGGCGAAGACUUCAGAAUUGAACUUGACCAUGAAGUGCCUGCAGGAAGUAGAAAAUAUAUCUGCAGGAAUGAUACUGAAAAGGAAGACAUCCUCAUUGAAACUACUGAAAACAGAGCUGAGAGUGGCAGAUACAUAAUACGAUAUGACAUAAGUGACAAGAGAGUGCAUGCAGUCAUCAAAGAGCUGACCCAGUCUGACUCUGGACGGUACAAAAUUGGUGUGAGCAAUUCUUCAUCCCUGAAUUUAUUUCAGGUAGUAGAGCUCAAAGUUAGAGAACUCUGUGAAGAAGAUAUCACCAAUGGUAAACCCAAAGUCUACAGUGCUACUGUGGGAGGGGAGGUUACAAUCAGAUGCCUCUUGCCUUUACAUUCACGAAACAUAAAGUUCCUCUGUAAAGAUGAAUGUAAAACAACGAUCAUCAACACAAAUAAUCUCACAAUUAUGAAUGGCAGACAUGAAAUUGAGUAUUGGAGUAACACGGUGUUUAACGUGACCAUCACAAACCUAAUCAAGUCGGACUCUGGGCGGUACAAGUGUGGCGUGCGAAAAAAAGAUGCAAAAAAUACAUGCCUGGAAUUUGAGAUCUCAGUAACAGAUGGUGAGUUUCUACUGGAAAAUGUACCUGCAUGUCUCCGGGUCUGAUGAACGACUUUACUGAUACAUGCAAUGGUCCAUAGUAGUCCUUCCAUUUGCUUUCAUUGUGUUUUCAAGAUGAAGAAUGAACUUUUCCAGUCCAACUUGAUGCAGUCUGCAGAAACCCUGUGUCAACUUACAUCCCUUAAUCAAAGAGUAGCAGGUUAUAAUCAAGCUUAUAUCUCAUUUUAAAAUGGGAGAAUAUGUGAGGCAUCUUUUAGAGCCCUUAUCACAAAUAAAGUUCAGUAUAACCAGAAAAUCCUUUCCUUAUCUGAUUAAGUUUACUUCAAUAUCAGGAAUCACACAAAGACGGUUACCACCUCAAUAAGUUGAUCCAGGGUUUCAGGCAGUUUGUUAAAUUAUUUUAAUGUGCAUAAAACUCUUUUCUCCUCAGUCGUUUAGUCCUCUUCUUUCAGCUGCAGUCCCAGGAGUGUUAAAAGUGAGAUCAUGCAAUGAACAAGUAUGAAAACAAGAAUUAAAACCAGCAGGAAUGAAGUUUGUAAGAGUCAGUGUUUAUACAACUACUACUUUGGAUCUUAUUAAGCAGACUCCAAUCCUGCUUCAUCAUACAGACCUUGAAGGUGUACUAUAUGAGAGAAAAUUACAAGCUAAUUUGCCCGAGGUCAUCUGCAAUUCUCAUGUGCAAAUGGUUUAAUUUGUUCAAUCGUUCCCACUCUCCCCCGCCUCUCAAUCAGGUAACAUCCUGCUGCUGGCUGUAUGCGUGACUGUGGUUGUGGUGCUACUCGCUGUUUUUGUUCUGCUCUUCUACAAACUGAAGAUAAAGCGUAAGCGUGUUCAGUAUGUGAACACGAGAGGUAAUGGAAGAAAUAUGGAGGUUGCUGUCUAUGAUGAUGUUGCUGAAGUCUACCAAAGUGCCACUGACGGGUCAACAUACCAGGAGCUCAGCAGCAGGGAAGAAGCGCUGUACUCUUUAUUUGAGCCUCCACCAAAUGCAAAUCUGCACUGAUAAUCAAUAGGUUAUGUUUGGGGGGGUUUCUUUCUGGUAGAAUGUGUCUUUUCCUUUUCCUCACAUUGUUUAUAAAUUUAGUUAGAAAAGAAGAAGAAAGGCAAAAGGUGUGGAUUUACUUUGGUAAAUCUUUUAUUCAGUUAAAAGUAAGUGUUACCUGGUUAGUUAUGGAGUAUUCAGUAAAGAUGUAGUAGUUUCUCGUGGUAUUUUUGCUGCAUGUGACAAUAAAGCUUAAACAGUACGAACAAUUUGGAG
ensembl:lncRNA